rnacentral:pre_miRNA from 1 species
CACCACCCCUGCAAUACCAAUCCAUACACCGUUUGAUUCUUCGUCUUAUUUAUUUUUUAAUAGUUAAUAUUCUUAUUGUUAUUAGAUAAUAAAAUAUAAAUAAUACUUUAUGUAUGACUAUUUUAUAAAAAAAUUAUAAUUUUUUUAAAUAAAACGGAUGAUCAAAUGUUGGACAUAGAAAUUUAAAAAUGAAUUUAUU